rnacentral:rRNA from 1 species
GACGAACCGUGCGAACGUUAUUCGGAAUCACUGGGCUUAAAGGGCGCGUAGGCGGGUCGGUAAGUCAGGGGUGAAAUCCCACGGCCCAACCGUGGAAGUGCCUCUGAUACUGCCGGCCUCGAGGGGGGUAGGGGCGUGCGGAACUCAGGGUGGAGCGGUGAAAUGCGUAGAUAUCCUGAGGAACACCGGUGGCGAAAGCGGCGCGCUGGAUCCCUUCUGACGCUGAGGCGCGAAAGCCAGGGGAGCAAACGGG